ACGAACGCUGGCGGCGUGCUUAACACAUGCAAGUCGAACGGAAAGGCCCUGCUUUUGUGGGGUGCUCGAGUGGCGAACGGGUGAGUAACACGUGAGUAACCUGCCCUUGACUUUGGGAUAACUUCAGGAAACUGGGGCUAAUACCGGAUAGGAGCUCCUGCUGCAUGGUGGGGGGUGGAAAGUUUCGGCGGUUGGGGAUGGACUCGCGGCUUAUCAGCUUGUUGGUGGGGUAGUGGCUUACCAAGGCUUUGACGGGUAGCCGGCCUGAGAGGGUGACCGGCCACAUUGGGACUGAGAUACGGCCCAGACUCCUACGGGAGGCAGAAGUGGGGAAUAUUGCACAAUGGGCGGAAGCCUGAUGCAGCAACGCCGCGUGCGGGAUGACGGCCUUCGGGUUGUAAACCGCUUUCGCCUGUGACGAAGCGUGAGUGACGGUAAUGGGUAAAGAAGCACCGGCUAACUACGUG
rnacentral:rRNA from 1 species